GGAUGACACAGGACACACCAGGCUGAAUCAGGACAUCCCAGCCUGACACAGGACACAACACAAUGACACAGGACAGCCCAGGAUGACUCAGGACAAAACAGGAUGACUAAGGAUACUCUAGGCUGAGACAGGACACCUGAGGGUGACUAAGGACAACCCAGUAUGGCUCAGGACAACCCAGGCAGACACAGGACAUCCCAGGCUGUCACAGGACACCCCAGUAUGACACAGGAUAUCCCAGGCUGACUCAGGACCCCCCAGGAUGACACAGAACAGCCUAGACUAACUCAGGACAACACAGUGUGGCUCAGGACACCCCAGGAUGAUACAGGACACCAAGAAAUGAGUCAAUACACCAGUCUGACUCCAGAAAGCCCAGCAUGACUCACGACACCCCAGUCUGACAUAAGAUACCCUAGGGUGACAGAAGACAAAACAUGAUGACUCAGGAAACCCCAGGAUGACACAGGACACCCCAGGAUUACUUAGGACACCCCAGGCUGACUCAGGACUCCCAGGGUCAACUCAGGAAUCCACAGGAUGACACAGGACACCACAGGAUGAAAUGGAUACCCCAGGAUAUCACAAGACACCCCAGACUGUUACAGGACACACCAGGCUGACACAGGACACUCAAGGCUGUCACAGGAUACACUAGGAUGACACAUGAUACCCCGGAUGACUCACGACAAUACAGGCUGACACUGGACACCCCAUGGCGACAGAGGACACUCCAGGAUUACUCAGGACACCCCAGGGUGACACUGGAGACCCAUGGAUGACACAGGACACUCCAGGCUGACUCAGGACCACCCAGGCUGACAAAAGACACCCAAGGCUGACAAAGGACAACCCAGGAUGACACAGGACACUGCAGGAUGACAUGGACAUGCGAGGAUGACACAGGACAUCCCAGGCUGACAAAAGACACUGAAGGCUGACAAUGGACAACCCAGGAUGACAAAGGACAACCCAGGAAGACACAGGACACCCCACGCUGACUCUGGCUACUCCUGGAUAGCUCAGUACACCCAAGGCAGACAGAGGACACCCCAGGCUGACACAGGACACUCCAGUCUGACUCAGGAAAACCCAGGCUGACUCAGGACACCACACGAUGACUCAGGACACUGCAGGAUGACACAGGAAACACCAGUCUGACUCAGGACAACCCAAGGAUGAUAAAGGACAACCCAGGCUGACACAGGACACCCCAGGAUGUCACGUGAUACCCCAGGAUGAUUCAGGACAUCCCAG
rnacentral:lncRNA from 1 species